rnacentral:lncRNA from 1 species
CCGGAAUAGUUCCAGCCCAAGAGGCCCUCUGUCCCCAGCCGACUCCAGGAGCCCUGGUACAAUAAUUAACAUGUGGGCCAGAGGCCCGGACUCAUUGGCACAGGACAGAUUCUCCGAUGAGAAACAGAGAAGUCCCAAAUCCCACUCACACAAAGGGCGUGUUGACACACUAUCUGCUGAGAAGCGCGAGCCUUCCGGGGAGAGCGCAAGGCAGAGGGGAAGCAGAGGGACGGCCGCAGACCAGGGGCACGCCUGCCCCGUUUCGAGCCCCUCCGGCUUUCCCCAGAGUGUUCUCGAAGGUCGGGCGCUCAGGUGGACUUUGGACUGGCUAACUAGCAUUUCCCCAAAGCACCGACGUCACAGAAGCCACAAGAAUCCAGACGGCGUCGUCCCACAUACGGGACAGGGACGGCAUCGGCAUCCUCAGAGCCUCGUCUCCUCUGGAAGGAUUGCUUCCUGCCAGGAAAUCCCGAUCCAAUUUCAGGAAUACUCUGGGGGCCCCUCUCGGGUCUGAUGUCAGACCCUGUGGCACAGGCACACGGGACACUCUGGCUAGCCUAGGUCACGGGCCAAGCCCUGGGGAUGGGCAGCAUACCCUGAGUGCCAUUAGUACGCUGUGGAUCUGGGGGAACGUUCUUGCAAAGAACCAGGAAGAAAUGGGCUGGACAGAACCUCUGGCUCCUGGGCUGCGUCACCAGGGACCGGGGGGCUCUGGGUGGGGAGGAAGCGUGAACGGGGAGCAGAGGAGGAGAUGGCUCAGGAGAGACGCUGCGACGAUGCUGUGGCAUGGGCAUGGAAUACCGCCCUGUAGGAGGUCUCUCCCCAAAGCCGAGAGGCUCUCGCCUGCGUAUCAAGAGCUGUUUACACAACCGAUCCCAGCGCAGCCUGGCAUUUAGCGGUCACUUGAGAAGAGCCACGUAAUGCCAGAGUGCGAACGGUGGACUGUGCAGAAAAUGAGGGCGUGCAGAGCAUGGAGAAGCCUUCUCGUGCCCCUUCUGCGUCUCCCUCUCCAGGGAAACCUUUAGCAGCCCGGAAGUCCCCUCCCCUGGAGCAAGAAGAUGAACCCGGUGAGAGAGACCAGGCCUUCCUGCAUCGCCAGUUUCGACUGGAAUUUCACAGCUGCAAGAGAACGUGGGGGUCGGGUGGUCGAGCAGCAGCAGCAGCAAAACUAGCCCAGGGGCUAAAUCCCCGCACCUGUAUUUUUGGAAAUAAAUUAUGACUGCAUUCCCA